GGGUGUGUGACCGACGCGCUUGGACGUUCUUUCCUUCGCGUCCGGCGCCGGCCGGGCGGCUACCACGCCGAAGGCUGGGCUGCAGGCAGCGCGAGGAGGCCUGGGGGACGCCAUCCAGGGGGUCAGAGAAAACAGUUUCUUGUUCAGUGGGAGCUGAGUGGUUUGGUCUGCUGCAGGACCAGGGCUCGAAAAAUCUGAGGAGCGUGUUCCGGAAGUCAUUGGGUCGGGCUGGGCUGGGACCGGGGAAUGCGCGCGCCCGCCCCAGAGCAGGCGGCUCGUCGCCUGGGACCGGGUGCGUGAGGGGUUCCCUUCUCUCCAACAGACGGAAAGUUUACUCGGUAUCUGUUGGCAGGGACUUGACAGCUAGCGAGCCCCAGUUGAACACACUUUACUUGUCUUAACUAGUACGUCAAUCAAGAACUUAUGCCCCGUGUGUUUGGAGAGGCUAAACUGCUGUGAGUUGAAAUUUUUUAAACUCUAGGACAGGUUUUCAGACGACCUUAAAAUAAAACGACCGGUAUUGGAGAUGGAAAUUUAAGUAAACAUGCUCUCUGACCA